rnacentral:rRNA from 1 species
UACGUAGGGUGCGAGCGUUGUCCGGAAUUAUUGGGCGUAAAGGGCUCGUAGGCGGUCUGUUGCGUCGGCUGUGAAAACCCGGGGCUCAACUCCGGGCCUGCAGCCGAUACGGGCAGACUAGAGUUCGGCAGGGGAGACUGGAAUUCCUGGUGUAGCGGUGAAAUGCGCAGAUAUCAGGAGGAACACCGGUGGCGAAGGCAGGUCUCUGGGCCACUACUGACGCUGAGAAGCGAAAGCAUGGGGAGCGAACAGG